UACAGAGGGGGCAAGCGUUGUUCGGAAUUACUGGGCGUAAAGGGCGCGUAGGCGGCCUGUUAAGUCGAACGUGAAAUCCCCGGGCUCAACCCGGGAACUGCGUCCGAUACUGGCAGGCUUGAAUCCGGGAGAGGGAUGCGGAAUUCCAGGUGUAGCGGUGAAAUGCGUAGAUAUCUGGAGGAACACCGGUGGCGAAGGCGGCAUCCUGGACCGGCAUUGACGCUGAGACGCGAAAGCGUGGGGAGCGAACAGG
rnacentral:rRNA from 1 species